UGUUAUUGCUAAUUUAGACCACCUCUAGGAUGAAGCUGAGAGGAAUGUAAAGAGUGACUGCAAAAUCUCAAAAAAACUGACUGCUGCAAGACAACACUCAACAGCAGCUGAUCCAACCAAAUUCAUACUAUGGGCAGCACCUGGACCCGAUUCAGCUAAACUGUUUUUGAAGAGAUACAAAUAUUAAAAACAGGGUACCUUUGAAUUGGAUUGAAUGUCAGAUGGUUAUAAAAGGAAACAUGAUUCUGGAUAUGUAUGAUUCUUUUGUAAAGCAAAAGAAAAAGGAAGAAAGGAACAAGCUUUAAAAAGAUGAUGGGUUCUCUGCUGAAUUUUAUGAGAGAAGAUUUGAGUGACAAUGCAAGCUCUCCCAUCGAUCCAUCAUCAUCAUGACUCCAGUACUCAGAUUCAAGCAUUUGUCUACUAUUCACUAAUCUUAAAUUUGUUUUUAAUGCUGAGAUAGUAAAGGUCAAUUUAGAGCCCUACUUCACACUACAAGCCUCAGGACCUAAUCUUUUAAAUAGUUUGAACACAACAUUUUGUAAUGUUUCCACUGCUUGUAUAUAGAUUUUUAAUGCCACACCUUUCUACUCUGUCAGGCUAAGAGAUUUAAGAAAUGUCUAUGUGUUGCACUCAAGUCACAGCUGCAGGCUAAGCAUCAAAGCUUAAAGUUGUUUUCUUAUAUAAAGCAGUUCAAAAGCUUAGACCUGCCAGGAGAAGAGAUGUCAAAUCAACACUUGACUUUUGAAAUCAGUAGAGUCCAGGGGCAUUAUGUUGUGUUUGUGUGAGGGGUUUUUUUUAGUUUGUUUGUCUGACUUAGGUGGUGCACAAAUAAUUAGAUUACUAUAUGUGCCUACAGAGGUAGAACAAGAAACCUAAACCUUGUUUUGUCUACUAUUGAUCAAGAAGUGCCCAUGAGACAUCUGAGAUACUGAGUGAGUGAUAAAGUUGAUUGAAAACCUGAGCCUAGUAUUUCACAUUAUUGGGUACACUUAUUUCUAAAGUUAUCUAUUCUCUUAGAAAGUUUUUUUUCUCAGUGGGUAAAAUUAAAGUAUUAUAUAAUGUCUUUUGCAGUCAGUCAGUAGCAAUAUACCAGGGAUGAAUUUGGCCCAAUGUAUUUAAACAGAUAUAGAGGAAUUAAUAUAUUAAAAGUUACUUUCAGAAAAUGAUUUGCAACAACAGAAGGCUGCUGUGGUUUAGUUGUUCUAGGGAACUGCAGAACUAUGAGUUCUGGGACUAUGGGUGCAUGGAGUUAUCCACAUUUCUACCUCAUUACUGGAAGCUCAAGUCAGGUUUCUGCUGAAGAAGCCUAUAAUGCUAGAUGUUGUAGGAAGUACCACCCAGUGAAACCAUUGUGGUGUCUUCCACAGCCCACUGAUUGAUUGAUUGUCUCAUGUCAGGAUAUAAACCAAGAGGCCUGUGUGAUGAGCCAAUUGAGCAAUGAUGCAGAAUGUUUCCUUCUGCUCAAGAUCUUGCCUUGCUGUGAACCCUGGAUACCAUUUCUGACCCCAGUUACUUGCCUGUUAUUUGUAACCUGAUACCUGACCCUGACUUCCUGGUAUCAUGACCUGGUUUGACACUAACUCUGCAACUUGCAUCCCACUUGGCACUUUGUGCCUGACUGAUUUUCUGGUAUCCUUACCCAUUUUGACCCUAAUACUGCUGCUUGUCUCCUGACUGCAACUUGGUAACUGAUCAAUGCACACAGUCCAACCCUGGACUGACCCUGACCGUUUGGAUGUAUGUGACUUGUAUUCUCUGAGGGCUCGUCUUCACUACAUGGUGGAUCGAUGGAAGACACCGUGGAACAAUGGUAGGAACUGGUAGUAUUGUCCCAGCAUUUGAUCAAGCAAACUGCAACUAUGUUGUGUGCAUUCUGCCACCAUGAAUUCAUAAAGUAGAACACCACCUAGUAAUGGUUAUGCUGAACAAGCAGGGAUUCUGCAGGUAAGGUCAAAUGCUAGCCACAGGCGUACCAUUUCUGCUAAUCAGAAUGGGAAGAGAGGUAAGAGAAUCAAUAAAUAGAGACUGAAGGAAAAUAAGUAGGUGGACUCCUUGCAUUUAGGC